rnacentral:rRNA from 1 species
AUUGAACGCUGGCGGCAUGCCUUACACAUGCAAGUCGAACGGCAGCACGGGUGCUUGCACCUGGUGGCGAGUGGCGAACGGGUGAGUAAUACAUCGGAACAUGUCCUGUAGUGGGGGAUAGCCCGGCGAAAGCCGGAUUAAUACCGCAUACGAUCUACGGAUGAAAGCGGGGGACCUGCGGGCCUCGCGCUAUAGGGUUGGCCGAUGGCUGAUUAGCUAGUUGGUGGGGUAAAGGCCUACCAAGGCGACGAUCAGUAGCUGGUCUGAGAGGACGACCAGCCACACUGGGACUGAGACACGGCCCAGACUCCUACGGGAGGCAGCAGUGGGGAAUUUUGGACAAUGGGCGAAAGCCUGAUCCAGCAAUGCCGCGUGUGUGAAGAAGGCCUUCGGGUUGUAAAGCACUUUUGUCCGGAAAGAAAUGCUUGGCCCUAAUACGGUCGUGGGAUGACGGUACCGGAAGAAUAAGCACCGGCUAACUACGUG